AUUUAACGUCCUAUCCGAGGGACGGAGUGUUUUCCACUUGACAUAACCUGCGUCUAUGAACAAGGGAAGGGGCACAUUAACACACAAUGCAGACAUCAGUCAUCCGCCUCGGUGGGAGUCGAACCCGGGAUCUUUGGUUCGACAGGCAGACGCUUUACCGACUGAGCCAACUCGCCUACUCAUUGCACUGCUUGAAUAAUAAUGGCGUGAACAAUAUUUAAGUAUGGCGUAUAUGCAGGAAUAAAAAUUUGUGGAAGUUUCAGGGUGGCUAAACUCUUAUUUGACUUAGUCUAAACUCUAGUUUAAAAUAAAAUGAAUAGUAGAUUCUAGUGAGUGACAACCAUGACCAACACCAUGCAUGCAUAGAUCUAGUACAAUUAAUUUCAACAGUUAAUAGUCUACCCAUAUUUUAAAAAAAUAGGGAAAUGAUAACACAUUAGACUUAGAUUUAAGAUUCAUAGUACGAACAAUCGUCCGUCUCGACUUGGACCUAUAUUGUCCAUUGUCCAUUGAAAUUGAUUUUAUCUAAAUCUCUAGAUUUACUAACAUCUAAAUCAACAGGUGGGACAAUCAGAGUUUUGAGUUCGAAAUAUCUGCUUAAAUGUGUUAUAAAUUGAUAUAAUUUAAGCAGCGACUUCAGAUUUUCAUUACAUUCAUGCAUCUAAUCUCAUAAAAGUCCAACUAGGUACACGAAACACAGUUUACUUACCAAUUUUUACAUCCCGUUCAGACGAUGCUACAGAUUCGACGGUUCAUCGUCUGCUAGAAUUGAAGGAGGGCGGGUUUCAUGAACCGUCGAAUGCGGAUUCGUCGGUUCAUAUAUACUUAAUAACACUAGAGGGCGUACUCGCUCAAAUUGCUGUGUUGACCUGGAGCGGUGGCCGCCAUUACUAAGGAGGGCAGAAAAACGAACGACCCAACAAGAUACUGUGCACAACUUACGUGGAAAAAUUUGGAGAAGCCAGGUUCGUGCGAUGCAUUUGGAUGUUCGAACCGAAGAAAGAAAGGGAACUGCCUAAUAGUUCACAAGAAUACACCCAAGAGAGGAAAGGAUGUUACACACCACAUCUCCUUCCUAGAGCUGUGCCUACUGUCUUUCCUGGACGUCCUCCCUAUAAACAGACCCAUGGCUCAAGACUCCCAGCAAAACCAUGUACAACAUCCGAAAGUGUUCCCGUGCCUCCAAAGAAACCCUAUGACAUUACAAAAGAACAUGACUAUUCUUUUUCUGUCUGAGUUGAUUAGAAACUGAAUAUAACCAGACAGCAAGUGCAGGAUGCCAAGAAAAAAAAAGUGGUGAAACAAGGUAAACAGGAAAGAUGGAAAAACCAGGACUCUCUUGCAGGAAGUCCACGAAAGCAAGCUCAUUAGCCAGGAUCAGCUUGACCUACUUCAACACAACUUUGGAGAGAACGCAUUUUCAGGAAAAAAAACCAAAACAUAGAACUUCAUUCGUACAAACUACAAAGACAGAUCGGUCUUUUAUAUUUUGCCUCUUGUCUGCAUAGCUUAUCCACUGGAUGAUUGACUGUGAAGCCGUUUAAAACUGGAGAGAGCUUUCAAUAAUCUUU
rnacentral:lncRNA from 1 species